CAAUUAGACUUGAUCAAAUCAAAUCCAAACUAAGUCAAACUGAAUCGAAUUCAAUUAAACUUGAUCCAGAGCUCUUUGCUUAAUCAAAUUGAGUUAAUUAGUAAUCUAAUUGCUAAUUAAUUCUCUAUUAAUAGUAGAGUCUCAGUCCAGUGGGAUCUCCUCCAGAGUCCUAAUCCCAGUGAAACUCUUCACUAGAGUCACAAUCUAAUUGGACUCUUCAGCCAUC
rnacentral:lncRNA from 1 species